UACGUAUGGGGCAAGCGUUGUCCGGAUUUAUUGGGCGUAAAGAGCGUGUAGGCGGCUGGGUAGGUCCGUUGUGAAAACUCGAGGCUCAACCUCGAGACGCCGAUGGAAACCCUCCAGCUAGAGUCCGGAAGAGGAGAGUGGAAUUCCUGGUGUAGCGGUGAAAUGCGCAGAUAUCAGGAAGAACACCCGUGGCUAAGGCGGCUCUCUAGUACGGUACUGACGCUGAGACGCGAAAGCGUGGGGAGCGAACAGG
rnacentral:rRNA from 1 species